AGAGGGAAGUGGGACUUCAGAGAAAACCGGCAUAUGGAGCCAGAGUGUUUUCACAUGUUUCUUAGUGAGUUAAGUUUUUCUCAACCAAAUAAGAGUUGGUGAUUGUUGGAACAGUGAAAAAAAACUAAUCAAGAUGAUUAUGAAUGGGCAUCAGAACCAGAGCCGUGUGUGUGGCCAACAAAACCAGGCCCUGCAGCCUCACAGUGAACACGGCUGGACCAAACACAGCCUCCGAGGCCAACGGAGGCCAUUUUGAUGACAGGGAAUCCGGGACGGAGGUGCUUUACAUUGGCUCAGACCAGGACUGCAGUGACAAGAGAAGCUUAAAGUGAAGAGGGACUUCGACAUUCCCUCCAGUGCUCAUGCUUCCUGUGCUGGGAAAGUUGCUGUUGCCACAGAGAUGGAGCAGAAAAACAUCUUUCUUUGGAAGCAGCCAAGAAACAGAUGAAUGUUAAAGACUAUCCACCAGACCCAGACUACUUCUUUAUGUUUGAGGCUUUCUGUCUUUCUGUUUUUCCACACAUUUCUCAUCCUCCAUUCUCAUAAUCAGGAUGAAAACUGCAGCAGUGGAGCAAUACGUUCUUAGAAUUUUGCAUGUUUUCCGUGCCGUCUUCGAGGUACAGGCAGCAACAUGUGCUUAAGGGCAUAAAUACCCAGAAAGAUGUUGAAUUAGUAAAGAUUUUGAGCAAAUGGCCUGCUAAUUCACAAGCUUAUAAAACCACAGCGAUAGCCAUGAACCAGUUUGUUCAUCUCCAAAGCCUGCAGUAAAUGCUAAUCUGGGCCUGAACUCAAAGAAACGUUAAAAAAAAGUGAUCCCAUCGUGCCAAUGAUAGCUGUAAUAUUUUUCUAAAAGUCCCCUUGAGUUCUGCCAGCGGUGGUGCCUGUGCUCUAAAAAUGUCAGUCACACUGAAGAGGUUAACCCCAGCCCUAUAAGAGAGCUGAUGGAAUAUUACACAAAUAGACGGACUGUAUCUGAUCCCAGCUCAGCAUGCUGUAAGACCAUCCCAUUCCAAUCUUGCCUCUCUCUGUCACCUCAUUAAAAAUACAAAGAGGGUAAAGAAGGGCCAGUCCUGAGCAAUCUCCGUUAAAGCUGCCUGUGAAUGCAAUGGCGUUAAUGUCAUUUAAUGCUGUUUCAUCUGAAAAACCACAUUAGAGUCAGAUUUAGUAAUCUGGGUUUGCCCAUGCUCGUCUCUAUGAUGUCAUUAUGCUAAACUGACCUUUACUGCCAGAUUAGGAGCGGUGGAGGGAAUAGAAGGAGGCUUUGGAAAGGGAAUUAACAAGAAAUGAAAAAUGGUGUAUUUGGCAUGUGGGUGAUGAAGUAUUCAGCAGCAUUUUGAACCUAAGUGCCAUCGACUACCAAUCAGAAUGAGAGGGACAAAAUGUCUUUUUGUGGUUUGAUCAGCUCACACCCAUGUCUUUAAAUUAAUGUUUAGCUCUUUCAGGAAUUCCUAGUGUCAAAGCCUGGUCUUUCUGUACACCUUAAUAAGCACUGGCACAAAGGAAAAUCUGAAUCUGCGGUAUAAAACCACUGGGUUGUUCUAAAUCCACUGUGCUUUUUAAGUUAAUUUGUUACCCGUAAAGGGAUUUCUGAUUCCUUUCAGUCUCUCUGCUCUCCCUGUAGAGGGAUUCCUGUUCUCUUUACAUUUGGACAACAUCUAAGAGCUGGCUGAGCUGCUGCACAUACUGUACCGAGAGGAGGAGGUGCAGCACAUUCAACAGUCCAGUUAUUUUGUUCCAACAGUUGUGGAACAAAAUAAGCACUUAGAUACAAUUCUCUUUAACCUUUGCACUAAAUCUUAGCAGACAGACACAAAGGUGGCGAGAGUGACAAAAGGUUUCUGCGAGAGGAUUAAUAAACCGAGACUUAAUCUUAAAGUUGUGCUCAUUCAUAUUGAUCAUCUUCGCUGUCUUCAAUAUUCAGGGAAGUUAGAGGUCUCCACUUGGGAAGACGGAUAGAGCUAUCGACUGCAAUCACAGCUUCUCCCCUCUAUCCAUCACGACCAAUUCCAAACUGGACCUCACUCAUCCCGGCCACUUUACACUGCUUUAGCUUUGCAUAGGAGAGAUUUGCACAUGCAAUAAACACAUAGAGAGGGAAGGGAGGCGGCAUUACAUGGACAUCACUGUGACAGUCGUUGGCUAUAUUGAAUUACUGGGUGGUGAACUUUCUGACAGCCUUGUUGGCAGAGGGACGAUUUUCCCUCCGUUGCUCUCCUGGUGGUUUAAGAUUGGAGGCAUCACUCUGAUGGAGGUGUCUGUUGGGCAGAAAUAUUGUGUUCUAGCUAAGCUUUGACACUUCAACACCAGCAUCGCUCAAACAGCCCUGAGGUACUUGGACUGAGGUAAAAUGAAGAGAGGGAAGUGUUGCGUACAGGCUACCUGUGCUGUUAGGAGAAACAUUCACUUACAGAUCGAACACUCUAUGAGAGUAACUCUUUGGUCUUGAAGCAAAUGUCAAAAACUUGACUGCUCUGAGACCUGACGACUUGUGUUGAUGUAUUUAUUACAGUCACCUGACCAGGUGUUUAAGUAUGUCAACUAUACAAGAUGCAUGACACUUUGAUAACCAGUGCAUACACCCGACACAGACUCGAGCACUUGACACACUACAGGCACUGAAUGCAUCUCUUGUCAGGUCUAGUUCCUCCUCUGCUGACAUGAUGAGUGCUUACUGCACAGGGGGCAGAUUCAUCUUACACUUCCUUAUCAUGUCAUUAUCACAGUGUCAUGUCAUUAUCAUAAUUAUUAUCAUGUUGUGCUAUUCCAUGGAGAAAGUAAUUGAUGGGUCAGCUAAACUCAUCUCUAAGGAGAAGGCAUCCUCUUGUUAGUGAUUCCAGGGAAAUUGCCCAGUGAGCAUGUUUGCGGCGUCUGCGUGACCGAGGUGUGACUGUCAAUGCUAAGUUGAGACCAGCAGAUGGUGGUGAUGGUAGUGGUGGUAAGGGGAGCCUUUGAUUGGAGAGGAAAACUGAAAAACAGACCCUGUGCUUCAGACAAGAAGGGUAAACAGAGCAAUUUCCCACAGACAAAAGAAGAGGCUUCUCCUGUGACAACAUAAGAGAUCCAAACAAGUUUGUCUCCUCUUUCUUCUCCCUGUGGGAGACUCUGUUGAAAUGAGUCCACAGUUCCUUCAGCGCUGGUAAAUGGAGUGCCUCCAUCCUCAAGCAGAGUCACCAUGUCCCUCUAUAACAGCCAAUCUCCUCCUCAAUUGGGCCUGUCUGGCCUGAAGCUGGACCAAGAUUCAGAAACAAUCUGUUUGUGAUAGUUUGUGUUUGUUAAUGUGUCUGUUGGAAUGACACAUUUUUGUGGAAAUGUAUGUGGUCUACAACUGUAGGUGUGGAAAACAGGCAUUAAAGAAAGGCAGGUAAAAGACACAACUGAUUUUUAA